UAUUGGUAUAUAUAGUGUAAACAAGACAUCGAUUUCCAUCAAAUCUCAAUAGUGGUAAUUGUGCUAAUAGUGCUGAUGUUUUCUUAACUUUUUGUCAAGGUCGUCAUGCUCAAUCAAUGAAAACACAAUCGUUCCGACAUUGGGUAUUGGUAGGUACCUAUAUCUGGGUUUCAUAAAACACGUUUUUUACCAAGUAAACGCUGAGUGAGUUUUUUAGUAAAACGGAACGUUUUACAUUCAUUAUCGGCCAGUGUCGUUACAAAGUCAUUAAAAAGUAAUCAAAAUGUGCGUUUAACUUGAUAGGUGCGCGGCGGAGGCGGUUCGUGCCGUGACUAAGCGGUUAGUGCGGCAGGCAGCGGCUGGGGCUGGCCACUGGGCUGCCCGGCCGGCUGCACGCUCGCCGUGGCCCGCAUGCCGCACGCCGCGCCGGCUGCACCGCGAUGCACUCCAAUGCACGUGCCGCGCGCGCUACUACACAUCUCAUUACGUGCCGCACUGCUUCUUAGCUCGUCUAGGAAGUGAUCUCGCGCUCUCAAUACCGAAUAACUAACUACUCGGAUCGUUCGCAACUCACAUGAGCUCAGCGUGCGCCCACGCACCUCAACUGAAUAAAGCAACGGGCAAUGAUUUAAAUGUCAAUGAAUGAACAUUUUUAUUGUUUGUUACUGACAAUGGCGUCUGGCUUGAUUUUAAAUCAUCACAUGUCGUAAUUUUUAAGCUACCGUCAUCUUGCGAAUGAAUGUUUAAUGUUACUUGUGAUAAUACGACAUUGUAAUUUUAACUGAUAUUGAUACUUAAUACAUGUAUGUCGUUUAA